GAGUAACCCUUACGGGAGCUAGCCGCCUAAGGUGGGACAGAUGAUUGGGGUGAAGUCGUAACAAGGUAGCCGUAUCGGAAGGUGCGGCUGGAUCACCUCCUUU
rnacentral:rRNA from 1 species